UUCUCUAACACUUUACCCUCUUUUCAUUUCCCUCUCUCUGCCUCCUCUCACAUUUCGUCUACACUUCAUUCCCAACAGCAUUUGAGAUGAUGAACCGACGCUGCUAAACUUGCCUAAGAUGAACACUUCAUGAUCGAAGACAAACAACCAAGGUGUGGCAGAAUCUUCACCGGCGCCAAACUGGGCUCUAUCACCGUCAGUUUUUCGUACCGAGCUCUAUUUUUGUGAUCUUCUCUCAGAUGGCACAUGAAACUCAAGAUGCUGACGAUAAAAUGUGGCCUCCCCACAUUGAACACAUUUUUAUUAACAUUAUGGUGGAUGAACAAGUGAAGGGGAAUAUGGAACAUGGUAUCUUUAAGGCUACAACUUGGCAAUCAAUUACGAAAACCCUAAAUGAGCAAACUGGGAAGAAAUGAAAAUUUUAUGUUGGAAAUUAAUGAAACCAUAAAAGUUUGGUUGGGGGAUGGUAAAUGAACCAAGUUGUUAAUGAACUGCUCAAGCUCAGCUCAAGCAAAACUUGUUUAUGUUCAUUUGUUUAGAAAACAAGUCAAGUUCAAAAUUUAGGCUCGAUUAUUAAACGAGUCAAGCUCAAACAUAAUAAUAUGUUUGUAAACAUUAGAACUUGAUUUAAAUAUAAUAUCGUAUUUUUAUAUGUA